rnacentral:miRNA from 1 species
UCCUGGAGGUUCAGCCGGAGUAGU